ensembl:snRNA U6 U6 spliceosomal RNA
AUGCUUGCAUUGGCAGCAGAUAUGCUAAAAUUGGAAUGAUACAGGGAAAAUUAGCAUGGCCCCUCUUGCAAGGGUGACUAGCAAAUUCAUGAAGCAUUUUUUAUUUAA